AAACCUAAAUUGAAUUUAAUAUUCAAUUCCGUUUGUUUGUCUUGUUUAUCAUAUAGGCAUUGUUACUAGUGAAUGUGAGACUGCCUAAGACUUUAUUUUUCAUCAUGGUAUGUUUUAUAUGGACUUAUUUGAGCUUAUGUACCUCAUCACUUAUGAGACUAGUUUGCUCUGUUUGAUGGUAAGAUUGGUGUCCUUUGGAUUAGUUGGUCUUUUGUUGGUGAUUUUUAUAUUUAUUUUGAUGAUAUUUUGCACCUGAAGCUGUGAAGGCUUAUGAAGGAACAUUGUGAGGAUAGUUUGGGUUCAAUCAGAUUUAGGUGAUGCAGUUGCAUGUAUUACUGCUGGUGGAAUUGUUUCAUUCUUGGAAGAGAUUGGUGAAGAUUCACAGCCUCUUCAGUGGAAGAUAUGCAAAACCUUCGGAAGCAGUGCAGGUUGUUGAUGUUCAAUUCGGAAUCUCUGUCUCGUUUGAAAAUGGUUAGUUUUAGAAUUUUUUAUCCACGUACAUGCUUUUCACUUGAAAGUAAAAUAGUAAAUACCAUUGAUUUACAUUUUUUAUGAACACCAAAGGUUGUUUCAUAUUCAGUUGUUCAUUUGAGAGUUUUUGAGCUCUUGGAUCCCUUGGAACUGAGUAACUGGCAGCUUCAGGUGUAACUAGCUUGUUCCAUCUUUGUUUCAUGAAAUGUGAUAUUUAAUAUUUUUCUUACAAUAACCCAACAUAUUUUGUUAUUCUGUUCUUUCUUUGUAAGCUGAAUUUCAAAAUGUUAUUGAAUCACUCUCUUCAUUUGGAAAGGCUUUGUCCCUCUCUGCGUCCAUAUCUUUGAAUCCACAAAAGGGUGGAAGUCAGGAAUCCAAUUUCCUUGUAGGUUUCAAUUCAGAUACCAGAGCUUAAUUCUUCCAAGGUAACUAAAUCUAGUUCAAAUUCAGUUACUGUCAUUUCAUUUUUAUUUGAGCUGCAUUGUCUUAAAUUUCCAUGGUAUGGAUGUUGUCUUCUAGAAUUGUCUCUACGUGCAUGUUAAGUCUGAACUGCAACUGUUACAGUCUGAGAUAAUAGGGAAGACUUCAGUUUGAAGGCGUGUUUUGAACCUGACACAUGUCUGUGUCUGACACCGACACAUGUUACUUUCAAUUUUCCAAAAUUUUUAUUAUUGUCAACGUGUCAGUUUCAUGUUCGUUGCCGGUUUCUAUACUGGUGCUUCAUAGAUGAUAGGAAUCAACUUAGUAUCUUUGGAAAUGAAGAAAAAUAUGGUGUUAAAUAGAAUCAAGGCUAUUCUAUGGUUGAAUUACAAUGUAUUAAUGGAAAGUACAACGCAGAAAUUCAAGUCUGAGCACUACACUCACAUGCUUCUCUUACAUAUACUAUCAGAUUAACAUUCUCUCACUUCUCACCUGUCCACAAGCACAACAGGCAAUUCCGCUAAUGCCGUUAUUAUUUUAACAAUUUAUCCACUACCUUUUACUUUGUUUCCUUGCGUACGCCCUACCAUAACUAUCAAAAGAUUUGAAUAAAUCACUUACUAUAGUACAUUUUUUGUCCUGGUAUGGGAGUUUGACCAAGCUCAGUAAAGAUGGGCUUCCUGUGGUAGAAUUAACAUUAUCUGAAGACAAGGGUGAUCAGGUGUAUGCUGUCACAUGGGCACCAAAUAUUAGCAGACUUAUAUGAGAUCGUUGCCGUCACAACACACAAGGGACUUUCAAUAUGGCACCUAUAGGAUUGAACCCAGAUUAUAAUGGGAGACUUUCAGUCGAUAGAGUUGCACUGUUGUCUGGUCAUUAUGGUGUGUGCAGGCGUGGCAAAUGGAGUGGGACACGAGUGGAAUGACAUUGGCUACUACUGGUGACGAUGGAAUGGUCCGGUUAUGGCAAUCUAAUCUUAACGGCGUUUGGCAUCAUCAAGCUGCAUUUGAACCGACUUCUUAUCCACAUAUGGAAUAAGUUUAUUUUUUUGUAUGUACAAAUUUCAUGACUUUAAUUCAUUUUCCUACCACCCAUCUUAUUAUUUUCUUAUGUAACAACUAAUUCAUACGUUAAUUUAAACCUCUAGUUGAAGAUA